rnacentral:rRNA from 1 species
AACCAGUACCGUGAGGGAAAGGUGAAAAGCACCCCGGAAGGGGAGUGAAAUAGAACCUGAAACCGUGUGCUUACAAGUAGUCAGAGCCCGUUAAUGGGUGAUGGCGUGCCUUUUGUAGAAUGAACCGGCGAGUUACGAUUUGAUGCAAGGUUAAGCAGUAAAUGUGGAGCCGUAGCGAAAGCGAGUCUGAAUAGGGCGUUUAGUAUUUGGUCGUAGACCCGAAACCAGGUGAUCUACCCUUGGUCAGGUUGAAGUUCAGGUAACACUGAAUGGAGGACCGAACCGACUUACGUUGAAAAGUGAGCGGAUGAACUGAGGGUAGCGGAGAAAUUCCAAUCGAACCUGGAGAUAGCUGGUUCUCUCCGAAAUAGCUUUAGGGCUAGCCUCAAGUGAUGAUUAUUGGAGGUAGAGCACUGUUUGGACGAGGGGCCCCUCUCGGGUUACCGAAUUCAGACAAACUCCGAAUGCCAAUUAAUUUAACUUGGGAGUCAGAACAUGGGUGAUAAGGUCCGUGUUCGAAAGGGAAACAGCCCAGACCACCAGCUAAGGU